rnacentral:tRNA from 2 species
GCCCCUGUGGCGGAACUGGUAGACGCGCCGGAUUCAAAAUCCGGUUUCUUCGGAAGUGCCCGUUCGAUUCGGGCCAGGGGCACCA